rnacentral:rRNA from 1 species
GACGAACGCUGGCGGCGUGCUUAACACAUGCAAGUCGAGCGAUGAAGCUUCUUCGGAAGUGGAUUAGCGGCGGACGGGUGAGUAACACGUGGGUAACCUGCCUCAUAGAGGGGAAUAGCCUUCCGAAAGGAAGAUUAGUACCGCAUAAGAUUGUAAUAUCGCAUGAUAUAGCAAUUAAAGGAGUAAUCCGCUAUGAGAUGGACCCGCGUCGCAUUAGCUAGUUGGUGAGGUAACGGCUCACCAAGGCGACGAUGCGUAGCCGACCUGAGAGGGUGAUCGGCCACAUUGGGACUGAGACACGGCCCAGACUCCUACGGGAGGCAGCAGUGGGGAAUAUUGCACAAUGGGGGAAACCCUGAUGCAGCAACGCCGCGUGAGUGAUGACGGUCUUCGGAUUGUAAAACUCUGUCUUCAGGGACGAUAAUGACGGUACCUGAGGAGGAAGCCACGGCUAACUACGUGCCAGCAGCCGCGGUAA